GGAUGUGAGGGUGAUCUGGCUGCAACAUCUGUCACCCCAUUGAUCACCAGGGUUGAUUGCACUGACCUGGCUGGCUAGGCAGGUGUCCCUUUCUUCCCCCACUACUUCAUGUCAUCCCUCUUGAAGCCACAUGCUGGGUUGAAGAGGGUAAUCUUCCUGGAUAGAGUUGGAUCAUUCUUCAGAUUAGUUACUAUGCUCCCAUACUAGAACCUCCAAACAGGCUCUCAAAAAACCAAAAACCAAUAAAGGUCUCCCAUGUAAAUGACUCCAGACUAAAUCAUUUAUUUUU
rnacentral:snRNA from 1 species